rnacentral:rRNA from 1 species
UAGGGAAUAUUGCACAAUGGGGGCAACCCUGACGCAGCGACGCCUCGUGAGUGAGGAAGGCCUUCGGGUCGUAAAGCUCUGUCAAGAGGGAAGAAGUGCAUGGUGGUUAAUAUCUGUCAUGUUUGACGGUACCUCUAAAGGAAGCACCGGCUAACUCCGUGCCAGCAGCCGCGGUAAUACGGAGGGUGCAAGCGUUGUUCGGAAUCACUGGGCGUAAAGGGCGCGCAGGCGGCCUGAUUAGUCAGAUGUGAAAGCCCACGGCUUAACUGUGGAAGUGCAUUUGAAACUGUCAGGCUUGAGUACCAGAGGGGAAAGUGGAAUUCCCGGUGUAGAGGUGAAAUUCGUAGAUAUCGGGAGGAAUACCGGUGGCGAAGGCGACUUUCUGGCUGGAUACUGACGCUGAGGCGCGAAAGCGUGGGGAGCAAACAG